CUUUCCUGUGUACAGUGCUAUUAGCUUAGCAACUAAAUACUUCUAUGUAAAAAUGGAGGGCAAUUAUAAAUAUGUGCCCAUGUUUCAGUGAAUCUUUUGAAAAGAUUUUGGCACCCAGACUUCAAUUGCAUGGGCCUGAUUGUGAUCUCACCCUCAUAUUCCUCUGGUAUACAUAUUGCUACCUUUUUCUAGAGAGAAUCUCAACAUUCUAGAGCGUCCUUGAAGAUACAAGUCCCUCGGGCUUCCCAAGCUACAAGAUUACGCAGCACACCAGUUUGUUUCGAAAUCGAGGAGGCAUGCCUCUCUCAGAGGUGGAAGCGGAGGGAACGCCGCAAGCCACUUGAGCCAGGAGGACCACACCCUGCGUGCCAGAGGCAGAGGGGUGGGACAGGAAGUGGAAGUAUAAAAGGCUGGCCCAACAGCUCUGUUGGGAGGGAGCUGCUGAAGGAAACUGAUGCUUCUUCCCUGCUGCUGGAGUGGGAUGCCAAGGAGAACUGCUGCCACCCCAGGGACCAGCCUGAGCUUCUAGAGAGCCCUGCAACACCCAAUGCUGAGGACCUGCUACUGCUACUCUUGGCAGUGUAUCCCAGGGAGACUGAGGACAAUUCCUGGAUGCAG